rnacentral:piRNA from 1 species
UCUCUGUGAUGAGUAGUAACUGAGUG